GAUGAAUGCUGGCGGCGUGGAUAAGGCAUGCAAGUCGAGUGGGUUUAGACCCACGGCAGACGAGGUAGUAACACGUAGGAACGUACCCCAAAGUCCGGGAUAUUCCAUCGAAAGAUGGCGCAAUACCGGAUGGUCUCUAAGGAGUAAAGAUUUAUCGCUUUGGGAGCGGCCUGCGCAGUAUCAGCUAGUUGGUAGGGUAAUGGCCUACCAAGGCUAUGACGCUUAGGGGAGCUGAGAGGCUGACCCCCACGAUGGAACUGAGAUACGGUCCUUACUCCUACGGGAGGCCGCAGUCGAGAAUCUUCCGCAAUGGACGAAAGUCUGACGGAGCGACGCCGCGUGGUGGAUGAAGUCCCCUUGGGGACUAAACACCUUUUAUGAGGGAUGAAGUUUUGACAGCACCUCAUGAAUAAGGGGCUCCUAACUCUGUGCCAGCAGCCGCGGUAA
rnacentral:rRNA from 1 species